CGCGGUCGCCCUCGCCGGGGGUAGCGGAGCCGUUCGCGGCGGCGGCUCGGGGGCGAUGCCGGCGGAUUUUCCUCACUGGAGUAGCGGAGCAUCAAACAUGGCGCUGCGGCCGCCUCCAGCUGUCCGGCCGGGCGGGCGCUCGGGCGCCUUCGGGCCGCUCCGGAGCCGCUCGGCCCAGAGCCGAUCGGCGACCUUCGGCUCUUUCCGGAGUCGUUCGGCCCAACACUGAUCGGCAACCUUCGGCUCUUUCCGGAGUCUCUCGUCAGCCAGGACCGCUCGGCAAACCUCGGGUUCUUCCGGAGAUGGUUUCGCGGGCGCAAGCGCCCUGCCCUGCUCCCCCUCCCUCCCCGCCCAGCCCAGCACCUCCCGUGACCCCCGCGCUCGGUAAAUUUCGGCUGUUUCCGGAAGACGAGGGCGUGACGCAGUUCGGGAAGCUUCGGAGGGGCUCGGAAGAGGGAUUCCCGCCCCGCUCGUAGUUCUUCGGAGCUUCUCUGCAAUCUUCGGCGGCCCUCGGGAUCGCCGUGGAUGCAGCUUCGGGGACAUUCGAUUCGGCUCGGGGAGACUUCGGCAGCGCUUGGCGCUGAGGGAUUGGCCCGAGAUCUCUCCUCACGGCCACCGUCUGAGCUUGGCAGCAGCCAAGGUGGUUUGUACCAUCUCAGAGAGAUAAAAAGCGCCUCAGAACAGAUUCCAGCAGCUGCCAGAUUGUCCUGACUUGUCCUGCCCUGCCACUGGCUGCCGAGGGCUCAUUCCAACCUGCUGGCACCUUCCAACAUUCCUGCCGCACUGCACGUCCCAGGGAGAUGCUCCCAGCACCUUUGCUGUGCCCGAAUGCAGGUAUUCCACCACAAUUCAAACACGUGGGGCCACAUCCAGACCGAAACAGGACUCUGGUAACAUCGCUGGCUCCUGCCAGCCAAGCACCGGAGUGUGCAGGCAGCGAUUUUCUCAGCUCCACCGCCCUCUGCGGGUUUGCACCAUUUCCAGGCAGACCUCUGGAAAACAACGGCCACAGCCACUCUCCAGCACUGCAGGAAGCUGAGGGCCUCACACUGAGUGGUGCCAGCAGAAAGUGAGUGCUAUUACUACAUUUUGGUUCCAUCUGGGUGAGAAAACAUGGUAAAAAAGGUCAGAGGGGUAUUUUAAUGUCUUAUUUAUGCAACAUCCGUGUCCCCAGCUCACUGCUGGCUCAGUCCUGCCCCUGCCAGCAGCAGAAACACUCUGUAUUCCCAAAAGUUUGCUAUCAGUGGGCUGCAGCCCCCUGGUUUUGCCCCAAAUCCAGCCCCCAAUAACAAUUCCAAGGCUAAAUAGCAAAGGAGUACAAAGCAGUUGACAUGGUUAAUGGCCAUCAGCCCUGCCAGGUGCUGGGGUGAGGCUUGCAGGGAGCCUGCAGCCCAGGUCCUACCUUGCAUUUUCUGGGCAAGCCUGAUGAAGCCAUGGAGCAUCUGCUUGAAGUGCACGUUGGCUUGUGUUAUGGAGCUGGCAGCAUCCCCCCUGAAUCACCAAGCCAUAAAUAAGGGAGUCUGAAGAGAAACCUGUGGUGGGGCCUGUGCCACUGGAUCCAGCCACAGCCCAGCUGGCUAAAAACUCACCCAGGAGGAAGGAAAAGCAUACAGGAAAGACCUCCCUGCCAGGGAGCUGUGUGGGGUCAUGCCAUAGAGAUGGAAAGCAAAGAGCCACCUGCAGUUAGAGUAAGGUUUUAGGGCAAAAAACCCUGGAUUUAGCCUCCAAGAGAGGCAGCAGUCACCAAGCACAGGUUGGGAAAAGGCUCCUGGCUCAGUUUUGUCAGCACAGGACAGUCUUAGUGGUGUAGACAGGGAGAAGAGCACAAAUAAAGGGAUGCAGAGCCUCCUGCUAUAAGAAAAU
ensembl:lncRNA